AAACCAAGCUGGCGCCUCUUGCAAUGGAGACGGUCAUUUCUUCAGAUAGCUCCCCAGCUCUGGAAAAUGAGCAUCCUCAAGAGACCCCAGAAUCCAACAAUAGCGUGUAUACUUCCUUCAUGAAGUCUCAUCGCUGCUAUGACCUGAUUCCCACAAGCUCCAAAUUGGUUGUAUUUGAUACGUCCCUGCAGGUGAAGAAAGCUUUUUUUGCUUUGGUGACUAACGGUGUACGAGCUGCCCCUUUAUGGGAUAGUAAGAAGCAAAGUUUUGUGGGCAUGCUGACCAUCACUGAUUUCAUCAAUAUCCUGCACCGCUACUAUAAAUCAGCCUUGGUACAGAUCUAUGAGCUAGAAGAACACAAGAUAGAAACUUGGAGAGAGGUGUAUCUCCAGGACUCCUUUAAACCACUUGUCUGCAUUUCUCCUAAUGCCAGGUGAGUUCCAGUUAUCCAUCUGUCUAAAAAGGGGAAGAGAUUUGCCAUCAGCCUAGCUAAUACACCCAGGGGAAGGGGAAGAAGAGAGAAAAGACACACACACACACACACACACACACACACACACACACACACAGUCUCUCUCUCUCUCUCUCACACACACACACACACACACACACACACACACACACACAGUCUCUCUCUCUCUUUCUCUUUAAGUCUGGCCUGUACACUGCCCCCCUUCCCUAACCAUCAGGUUUCCCUGUUUAGCGAUACACUGUACGGACCUGUUUAAUCACCCUCAGCCCCAGCACUGUGGAACUUACUAUCUCCCACCCUCUCACAGCUUGUUUGAUGCUGUCUCUUCAUUAAUUCGGAACAAGAUCCACAGGCUGCCAGUUAUUGACCCAGAAUCAGGCAAUACUUUGUACAUCCUCACCCACAAGCGCAUUCUGAAGUUCCUCAAAUUGUUUAUCACUGAGUUCCCCAAGCCAGAGUUCAUGUCCAAGUCUCUGGAAGAGCUACAGAUUGGCACCUAUGCCAAUAUUGCUAUGGUUCGCACUACCACCCCGGUCUAUGUGGCUCU
rnacentral:sRNA from 1 species